rnacentral:rRNA from 1 species
UCGUGGGGCAGCAUGAAGUAGCAAUACUUUGAUGGCGACCGGCAAACGGGUGCGGAACACGUACACAACCUUCCGGUAAGUGGGGAAUAGCCCAGAGAAAUUUGGAUUAAUACCCCGUAACAUUGCGAUGUGGCAUCACAUUGCAAUUAUAGCUUCGGCGCUUAUUGAUGGGUGUGCGUAUGAUUAGAUAGUUGGCGAGGUAACGGCUCACCAAGUCUACGAUCAUUAGCUGAUGUGAGAGCAUGAUCAGCCACACGGGCACUGAGACACGGGCCCGACUCCUACGGGAGGCAGCAGUAAGGAAUAUUGGUCAAUGGACGAAAGUCUGAACCAGCUAUGCCGCGUGAAGGAUUAAGGUCCUCUGGAUUGUAAACUUCUUUUAUAUGGGAAGAAAAAAGGUCUUUCUAGAUCACUUGACGGUACCAUAUGAAUAAGCACCGGCUAACUCCGUGCCAGCAGCCGCGGUAAUACGGAGGGUGCAAGCGUUAUCCGGAUUCACUGGGUUUAAAGGGUGCGUAGGCGGGCAGGUAAGUCAGUGGUGAAAUCCUGGAGCUCAACUCCAGAACUGCCAUUGAUACUAUCUUUCUUGAAUAUUGUGGAGGUAAGCGGAAUAUGUCAUGUAGCGGUGAAAUGCUUAGAUAUGACAUAGAACACCUAUUGCGAAGGCAGCUUACUACGCAUAUAUUGACGCUGAGGCACGAAAGCGUGGGGAUCAAACAGGAUUAGAUACCCUGGUAGUCCACGCCCUAAACGAUGGAUACUCGACAUUUGCGAUACACUGUAAGUGUCUGAGCG